CUAUUUUUUUUUUUUUUUGAGACAGAGUCUUACUCUGGGCUGGAGUGCAGUGGCGCAACCUCGGCUCACUGCAACCUCCGCCUCCCAGGUUCAAGCAAUUCUCCUGCCUCAGCCUUCUUCUACUUUUAUAUUUCGCUCAGUUACCUAUAUCUGUUUCAGCUCUAGGCUCAGAGGCAGAAGGGACUUGCUUUGUCUCAGACUUUGGACUUGGACUUUUGAGUUAAUGCUGGAAUGAGUUAAGACUUUGGGGGACUGUUGGGAAGCCAUUAUGAGUUUUGAAAUGUGAAAAGGACGUGAGACUUGGAAGAAGCCAGGAGUGGAAUGAUAUGGUUUGCCCCUUUGUGCCCCCGGCAAAUCUCAUCUUGAAUUGUAAUCCUCAUGUGUUGAGGGAGGCACCUGGUGGGAGGUGACUGAACUAUGGGUACAGUUUCCCCAUGCUGUUCUUGUGAUAGUGAUGAGUUCUCACAAAAUCUGAUGGUUUACAAGUGUUUGGCAAUUCCUCCCACUGUCAUGUAAGAUGUGCCUUGCUUCCCCUCAUCUUCCACCAUGAUUGUAAGUUUCCUGAGGCCUCCCUAACCAUAUGAAACUUUUGAGUCAAU
rnacentral:lncRNA from 1 species